AAUCAACGCUGGCGGCGUGCCUAACACAUGCAAGUCGAGCGCGAAAGGGGGAGCAAUCCCCAAGUAGAGCGGCGAACGGGUGAGUAACGCGUGGGUAAUCUGCCUCCGAGUGGGGAACAACAUCGGGAAACUGGUGCUAAUACCGCAUGACAUCGUCGGGUCUUCGGGCCUGACGAUCAAAGCCGGGGACCGCAAGGCCUGGCGCUUGGGAGAGGAGCCCGCGUCCGAUAGGCUAGUUGGUGGGGUAAUGGCCCACCAAGGCGACGAUCGGUAGCCGGCCUGAGAGGGCGGACGGCCACACUGGGACUGAGACACGGCCCGAGACACCUACGGGAGGCAG
rnacentral:rRNA from 1 species